AGUCGAGCGGAGAGAAGGUAGCUUGCUACCGAUCUUAGCGGCGGACGGGUGAGUAAUGCUUAGGAAUCUGCCUAUUAGUGGGGGACAACAUUUCGAAAGGAAUGCUAAUACCGCAUACGUCCUACGGGAGAAAGCAGGGGAUCUUCGGACCUUGCGCUAAUAGAUGAGCCUAAGUCGGAUUAGCUAGUUGGUGGGGUAAAGGCCUACCAAGGCGACGAUCUGUAGCGGGUCUGAGAGGAUGAUCCGCCACACUGGGACUGAGACACGGCCCAGACUCCUACGGGAGGCAGCAGUGGGGAAUAUUGGACAAUGGGCGCAAGCCUGAUCCAGCCAUGCCGCGUGUGUGAAGAAGGCCUUAUGGUUGUAAAGCACUUUAAGCGAGGAGGAGGCUACUUUAGUUAAUACCUAGAGAUAGUGGACGUUACUCGCAGAAUAAGCACCGGCUAACUCUGUGCCAGCAGCCGCGGUAAUACAGAGGGUGCAAGCGUUAAUCGGAUUUACUGGGCGUAAAGCGCGCGUAGGCGGCUAAUUAAGUCAAAUGUGAAAUCCCCGAGCUUAACUUGGGAAUUGCAUUCGAUACUGGUUAGCUAGAGUGUGGGAGAGGAUGGUAGAAUUCCAGGUGUAGCGGUGAAAUGCGUAGAGAUCUGGAGGAAUACCGAUGGCGAAGGCAGCCAUCUGGCCUAACACUGACGCUGAGGUGCGAAAGCAUGGGGAGCAAACAGGAUUAGAUACCCUGGUAGUCCAUGCCGUAAACGAUGUCUACUAGCCGUUGGGGCCUUUGAGGCUUUAGUGGCGCAGCUAACGCGAUAAGUAGACCGCCUGGGGAGUACGGUCGCAAGACUAAAACUCAAAUGAAUUGACGGGGGCCCGCACAAGCGGUGGAGCAUGUGGUUU
rnacentral:rRNA from 1 species